GACGAACGCUGGCGGCGUGCUUAACACAUGCAAGUCGAACGGAAAGGCCCUGCUUUUGUGGGGUGCUCGAGUGGCGAACGGGUGAGUAACACGUGAGUAACCUGCCCUUGACUUUGGGAUAACUUCAGGAAACUGGGGCUAAUACCGGAUAGGAGCUCCUGCUGCAUGGUGGGGGUUGGAAAGUUUCGGCGGUUGGGGAUGGACUCGCGGCUUAUCAGCUUGUUGGUGGGGUAGUGGCUUACCAAGGCUUUGACGGGUAGCCGGCCUGAGAGGGUGACCGGGCACAAUGGGACUGAGAUACGGCCCAGACUCCUACGGGAGGCAGCAGUGGGGAAUAUUGCACAAUGGGCGGAAGCCUGAUGCAGCAACGCCGCGGGCGGGAUGACGGCCUUCGGGUUGUAAACCGCUUUCGCCUGUGACGAAGCGUGAGUGACGGUAAUGGGUAAAGAAGCACCGGCUAACUACGUGC
rnacentral:rRNA from 1 species